rnacentral:rRNA from 1 species
GGACGCCAGUCUGCGUGGAGCCAACCUUGAAAUACCACCCUGGCAACUUUGAGGUUCUAACUCAGGUCCGUUAUCCGGAUCGAGGACAGUGUAUGGUGGGUAGUUUGACUGGGGCGGUCUCCUCCUAAAGAGUAACGGAGGAGUACGAAGGUGCGCUCAGACCGGUCGGAAAUCGGUCGUAGAGUAUAAAGGCAAAAGCGCGCUUGACUGCGAGACAGACACGUCGAGCAGGUACGAAAGUAGGUCUUAGUGAUCCGGUGGUUCUGUAUGGAAGGGCCAUCGCUCAACGGAUAAAAGGUACUCCGGGGAUAACAGGCUGAUACCGCCCAAGAGUUCAUAUCGACGGCGGUGUUUGGCACCUCGAUGUCGGCUCAUCACAUCCUGGGGCUGAAGCCGGUCCCAAGGGUAUGGCUGUUCGCCAUUUAAAGUGGUACGCGAGCUGGGUUUAGAACGUCGUGAGACAGUUCGGUCCCUAUCUGCCGUGGACGUUUGAGAUUUGAGAGGGGCUGCUCCUAGUACGAGAGGACCGGAGUGGACGAACCUCUGGUGUUCCGGUUGUCACGCCAGUGGCAUUGCCGGGUAGCUAUGUUCGGA